GUGAGAUCAUGACCUGAGCCAAAACCAAGAGCCAGAUGUGUAACUGACUGAGCCAUCCAAGGACCAUGAAGGCUAGUGCGCAAGAGUGCAGGGCAACCAAGGCCAUUUUGGCUACACAUGCGUUGUCGCGGAAGCCACCAAUUCAGAAGGCACAAGGGAAAAGGUACACGAGGCCACCAUUUCUGAACAUGAAGAAUGAUUCCCAGAGAAAUGUGGAGCUGGAGGGAGGAGCACCCCCCCUAACCUGCACUGGAAAGGAAGAAAUCACGCGAGCCCAGGACCAGUGCUGACUUGGAGGAGGGGGCACUCAGCUGUUGGCCAUCGCCUGAGAUCAGGUCCGGAGAAUGACCCUGCAGGCCCUUUCCUGUCUGAGCUUCAGGCUGAGGCUCUGGAGAACGGAACCCUCUCCCAUGUCCUUGUGCCCCAAUCCUGCUUAUUCUUCAGCCUCAGAAUUCAGUGCUGCAAGACGCAGUUCCCUAACACUUCCUCCGCUGCCUGGCAAAAAUCCCCACCCGGAUCAAUCUGACUGUCUGGCUCUCAUCACCCAUAACCAAGAUGCUGAGCCGUGCUGGAGAAAAUCACAGAAGACAGAGAUGGACGCGUUGUAAAUUCUCGGUCUACAGUAACUAUGCACUGAUGGGCUCUGUUUUUGGAUCAUUUUCCUCCACUGUUUGGAUUUCAAAGAUGCUCUACUUUUCUCAACCUCAGGCCCCACUUUUUCUUCUUCCAGCAUCAGCAGACCACUCACACUUCCUGCUUCACCGAGAACAUAAAAGCAGACAAACUAGUGUCCCCUCUAUUUCUUGCUCCUAAGUCCAGCAACCUACCCAUCACAGACACAAUGGAUGUCCUGCCCAUUUCCCAGUGGUCUCCAGAUGCCUGAGGACUCCCUCUGGGAUGCAGACACCCCACCUCCUUCACCCUCAGAUGGGUGUGUACUCAUCGUUGGCUCCUCAGUUAAGGGAUCGUGAACUAAGAUGACACCCAACCUUUCCCCCUCUCUUCCUGUCACUGUGGAAGAGGCUUCCUUCUAUCCGAGACCUGUUUCUCCAUGGAUCCUCUGGGUCCUAUCCCCUUGCUCCUUCUUAGGGAGCUCACUCCACCAAUUAUCACCGCUCAUUACUGUAUCUUUUCUUUGCCUGAAUUCUACUUUGUUCAUUUAAUAUUAAUUUUACACCACCA